AUGUCUACUUUGUCAUCCGUCAACUUCUAAGUAAAGCCUAUCAAGCAAUUGAUGAUUGGUCAGUUGAAGCGAUAAUGUUGGAAAAAAUAUGAUAUGGUGUUAUGAGUGACGUCACGCAUUCAUAACUUUAUGUCAUCUGGACAAGAGGGAAGUUCUUCUGGAGGUCUGACAUUUCAUAUUUUCUUUAUUUCUACACAUGACACUCGGACGUUGCGGAUUAUCUGUCCCUCGUGAAUGAAUGUGUUAAGUCCCUUAUAAAUGGAAAGCGACUCACACAAUUCAUUCACAAGGGACUGAUAAUUCUCCAAAGCUUGUUGGAUAUACUCUAUUUUCCUUGCUAUUUCAGAUGCGGCCUGUCCCAAGAAAACACAUUUUCUACAAAGUUCUUGUUGGAUCCACGGUUGCCCUUUCCAUCCUGUUUGUGUAUUACAAAUGUUAUGCAUGUUUGUGCAAGAAAUAUCAAGCAGAUAUGUUAUGCAUUUAUCAUGCAGAUUAGUACUGGAAAUAUGUAGAUGUGUACUACAAAUAUUGUGCAAAUGUGUUCUGCUUCUAUUUCAUGGUAUAAUUUCACUCUUUACAUUUAAAACAUAUAAGUGGAACUUCAACAAAAUCUUAACUUGCUAUAUAUCAUGAUGUAUAAGACACGCUAUUUGAAAUGGGACGUUUUGCCAGUUUUGAGGAAUAGAAAUAAAGCAGUGCAUAAGAAUGACCCCACAAUGAUUUCACAGAACAUGACCAGAACAUACCAUAUUCAACCCAUUGUCAGUAUUGUUAAUGUUGCAAGUACAAUAUAUACUACUUGUACAACAUUAUGCAUGUACAACACUAUGCUUGUACAAUAUGAUGCAUCAACAAUAUCAUGCUUGUACAACGAUGCAUGUUUAAGACGAAGUUCCAAGUAUGGUGCAUUGUCCAUCAUCCAUGUGUCCAUUAACUCAUAAGCCAGAAGAUGCAUUACUAUCAUUGUUCUCCGGUUCGAGAAAACCAACCCUAUGAAUCGCUAAUACUAGCUAUAGAUCUAAGACUAUAUAUUAAAAUGAAAUAAAAACAUUGUACCUUUUUA